rnacentral:rRNA from 1 species
UGGGGAAUAUUGCACAAUGGGCGCAAGCCUGAUGCAGCCAUGCCGCGUGUGUGAAGAAGGCCUUCGGGUUGUAAAGCACUUUCAGCGAGGAGGAAGGUGGUGAGCUUAAUACGCUCAUCAAUUGACGUUACUCGCAGAAGAAGCACCGGCUAACUCCGUGCCAGCAGCCGCGGUAAUACGGAGGGUGCAAGCGUUAAUCGGAAUUACUGGGCGUAAAGCGCACGCAGGCGGUUUGUUAAGUCAGAUGUGAAAUCCCCGGGCUCAACCUGGGAACUGCAUUUGAAACUGGCAAGCUAGAGUCUCGUAGAGGGGGGUAGAAUUCCAGGUGUAGCGGUGAAAUGCGUAGAGAUCUGGAGGAAUACCGGUGGCGAAGGCGGCCCCCCUGGACGAAGACUGACGCUCAGGUGCGAAAGCGUGGGGAGCAAAACAGGAUUAGAUACCCUGGUAGUCCACGCUGUAAAACGAUGUCGAUUUUGGAGGUUGUGCCCCUUGAGGCGUGGNUUCCGGAGCUAACGCGUUAAAUCGACCGCCU